GACAGGGGCAAUGGUAGUGCGACUGCCUGUGACGCAGAAGGUUCCGGGUUCGAUUUCCGGUGGGUCA